UACGGAGGAUGCAAGCGUUAUCCGGAAUGAUUGGGCGUAAAGGGUCCGCAGGUGGCAAUGUAAGUCUGCUGUCAAAGAAUGAGGCUUAACCUCAUCAAGGCAGUGGAAACUACAUAGCUAGAGUACGGUCGGGGUAGAAGGAAUUCCUGGUGUAGCGGUGAAAUGCGUAGAGAUCAGGAAGAACACCGGUGGCGAAGGCGUUCUGCUAGGCCGCAACUGACACUGAGGGACGAAAGCUAGGGGAGCAAACGGG
rnacentral:rRNA from 1 species